ACAAAAAGGCAACAGUGGUAGCAGAAAGACAGGCAGGUGGGCAGGCGCAGAGGAACAGCUUUUCUAAUGUCUGGCUGAGAGACUAACGGAGGCAAGAGAAACUCAAAUUGGAAAUUUUGUGGAUUAUUCCUGCAACAAAAGGAAUGACUGGACUCUGGGUCAUGAUUCACCGCUGAAUGGAGAAGUUUCAACCUUCGUUUUAGGGUUUUUAUUAAGGAAACGACACCAUUUGAUCUCACUUUGCUCUUAAAUAUGACUUUUUAUUUUGAUCGUCUUUAAAAAAAAAAAAACAGAAAGAGAAACACAUCUGUAUCUGUUGGUGGGAUUCCAGCCUGUCAGCUAUUUUGGUUCCUGUCUUGCUUUCACUGUUUUGUGAAAGGAGAUGUAAGAAGGAAGAGAGAGAGAGAGAGAGAGAGAGAUAGAGAGAGAGAGAAGCGACACAGAAAGAGGACGGUCAGAGAGACGUCUAAACAGCGGGCGUCUCCGAGAGAGUCAGAAGGGUUCAGAGGACGCUGAGAAGAGUACACGUGACUCUCUCCCUGGUCCCAGAAGAAGAGAAAAGGCAUCAUGGUUCGGUGGUUCCACAGAGACAUCACAGGCCUGCAGGCCGAGGAGAUGCUGAAGACUCGGGGGAUUCACGGCAGCUUUCUGGCUCGACCCAGCAAGAAAAUUGCCGGAGAUUUCUCCCUUUCU